UCUAACCCCAUCUACAGUACAUUAGGUUGGUUUGUUCUCUUGCUCCGUUUGGCAGUGCAUGGAGCUGAGACGCGGAAAUUCAGUGAGAACAGACGACUACACCUCCUCUGAUUCAGAGAUUCAAGUAAGGAAUCCCCCACCCCAUCUGCUGAGGUCUGCGUUGAAUCCCCUGCACCCCCUUCUUCAGACAGAUAGAGGUUUUCAAAUGUGUAGAUAUCUGCACCAAGUGCAUUGAAGCAACCUGUACGGAAUCUGGCCUGCAUAUCUGUAUAAUUAAAACAAUGGCAGAA